AGAGUUUGAUCCUGGCUCAGGAUGAACGCUAGCUACAGGCUUAACACAUGCAAGUCGAGGGGAAACGACAUCGAAAGCUUGCUUUUGAUGGGCGUCGACCGGCGCACGGGUGAGUAACGCGUAUCCAACCUGCCCACCACUUGGGGAUAACCUUGCGAAAGUAAGACUAAUACCCAAUGAUAUCCCACGAAGGCAUCCGAAUGGGAUUAAAGAUUUAUCGGUGAUGGAUGGGGAUGCGUCUGAUUAGCUUGUUGGCGGGGUAACGGCCCACCAAGGCAACGAUCAGUAGGGGUUCUGAGAGGAAGGUCCCCCACAUUGGAACUGAGACACGGUCCAAACUCCUACGGGAGGCAGCAGUGAGGAAUAUUGGUCAAUGGGCGAGAGCCUGAACCAGCCAAGUAGCGUGCAGGAUGACGGCCCUAUGGGUUGUAAACUGCUUUUAUAAGGGAAUAAAGUGAGUCUCGUGAGACUUUUUGCAUGUACCUUAUGAAUAAGGACCGGCUAAUUCCGUGCCAGCAGCCGCGGUAAUACGGAAGGUCCGGGCGUUAUCCGGAUUUAUUGGGUUUAAAGGGAGCGUAGGCCGGAGAUUAAGCGUGUUGUGAAAUGUAG
rnacentral:rRNA from 1 species